rnacentral:rRNA from 1 species
AAAAAAGGUAAGCUACUAAGAGCGAAUGGUGGAUGCCUUGACUGGUAAAGGCGAUGAAGGACGUACUAGACUGCGAUAAGCUACGGGGAGCUGUCAAGAAGCUUUGAUCCGUAGAUUUCCGAAUGGGGCAACCCAAUGUAUAGAGAUAUACAUUACCUAUAUAGGAGCGAACGAGGGGAAUUGAAACAUCUUAGUACCCUCAGGAAAAGAAAUCAAUAGAGAUUGCGUCAGUAGCGGCGAGCGAAAGCGCAAGAGGGCAAACCCAGUGCUUGCACUGGGGGUUGUAGGACUGCAAUGUGCAAGAGGUGAGUUUAGCAGAACAUUCUGGAAAGUAUAGCCAUAGAGGGUGAUAGUCCCGUAUGCGAAAAACAAACCUUAGCUAGCAGUAUCCUGAGUAGGGCGGGACACGAGAAAUCCUGUCUGAAGCUGGGUCGACCACGAUCCAACCCUAAAUACUAAUACCAGAUCGAUAGUGCACAAGUACCGUGAGGGAAAGGUGAAAAGAACUGAGGUGAUCAGAGUGAAAUAGAACCUGAAACCAUUUGCUUACAAUCAUUCAGAGCCCUAUGUAGCAAUACAGGGUGAUGGACUGCCUUUUGCAUAAUGAGCCUGCGAGUUGUGGUGUCUGGCAAGGUUAAGCAAACGCGAAGCCGUAGCGAAAGCGAGUCUGAAUAGGGCGCUUAGUCAGAUGCUGCAGACCCGAAACGAAGUGAUCUAUCUAUGAGCAAGUUGAAGCUAGUGUAAGAACUAGUGGAGGACUGAACCCAUAGGCGUUGAAAAGCCCCGGGAUGACUUGUGGAUAGGGGUGAAAGGCCAAUCAAACUUCGUGAUAGCUGGUUCUCUCCGAAAUAUAUUUAGGUAUAGCGUUGUGUCGUAAUAUAAGGGGGUAGAGCACUGAAUGGGCUAGGGCAUACACCAAUGUACCAAACCCUAUCAAACUCCGAAUACCUUAUAUGUAAUCACAGCAGUCAGGCGGCGAGUGAUAAAAUCCGUCGUCAAGAGGGAAACAACCCAGACUACCAGCUAAGGUCCCUAAAUCUUACUUAAGUGGAAAACGAUGUGAAGUUACUUAAACAACCAGGAGGUUGGCUUAGAAGCAGCCAUCCUUUAAAGAAAGCGUAAUAGCUCACUGGUCUAGUGAUUUUGCGCGGAAAAUAUAACGGGGCUAAAGUAAGUACCGAAGCUGUAGACUUGCGCACAACUUAGAUUAUUUAAGUUUAGAAUAUGAGAAACUAAGUUAUAUGUUUAGUUAUAUUUUUACUGAUUUUUAUAGAGUAAAGAUAGAAAUAAAACUUAGUAAAAUCAGUAAAAAUAUUCUUAGACUAAAGUUAAGUAGUUUAAGUUGUGUGCAAGUGGUAGGAGAGCGUUCUAUUUGCGUCGAAGGUAUACCGGUAAGGAGUGCUGGAGCGAAUAGAAGUGAGCAUGCAGGCAUGAGUAGCGAUAAUUAAUGUGAGAAUCAUUAACGCCGUAAACCCAAGGUUUCCUACGCGAUGCUCGUCAUCGUAGGGUUAGUCGGGUCCUAAGUCGAGUCCGAAAGGGGUAGACGAUGGCAAAUUGGUUAAUAUUCCAAUACCAACAUUAGUGUGCGAUGGAAGGACGCUUAGGGCUAAGGGGGCUAGCGGA